rnacentral:rRNA from 1 species
AGUGAACGCUGGCGGUAGGCCUAACACAUGCAAGUCGAACGGCAGCACAGUAAGAGCUUGCUCUUACGGGUGGCGAGUGGCGGACGGGUGAGGAAUACAUCGGAAUCUACUUUUUCGUGGGGGAUAACGUAGGGAGACUUACGCUAAUACAGCAUACGACCUACGGGGGAAAGCAGGGGAUCUUCGGACCUUGCGCGAUUGAACGCGCCGAUGUCGGAUUAGCUGGUUGGCGGGGUAAAGGCCAACCAAGUGGACGAUCCGUAGCUGGUCUGGGAGGAGGAUCGCCCACCCGGGAGCUGGGACACGGUCCAGACUCCUACGGGAGGGAGCAGUCGGCAAUGUUGGGCAAUGGGGGCAAGCCUGGUACAGUCGUCCCGCGUGUGUUAAGGAGGCCUCGCGUUUGUAAUGCCCGUUUGUUGGGAGAGAACAGCAGCAGGUUAUUACCCCGCUGUUCUGACGGUACCCAAUAAAGAAGCACCGGCUAACUUCGUG